rnacentral:lncRNA from 13 species
CCUCGAUUCGCUAUCUCUGAUCAACAGGGUACCACAGACACACACACACACAGACAGACAUGUUAAGGCCAGGCACCACAAUCUAAUAAUAGGUUAACAUUUGUUGCCUUUAAUCAUAUCGCUAUUAACUUUUACCAAUUUUGGGGGAAAUAUUGUGUUAAACAGGCAAAUGAGACAAAUGUUUUGAUUUGCUUCAAAUCAAUUUUUUCCGGACCCUGAAUGAAGUCAGGCUAAAUAUUUUGGUUUUAUUUAGUUAGACACUCCGGGACCAGACUUGUAUACAUCAGAUUAAGGUGCUCCGGUCUUGAAGGAGAAGUACAACAGUCAGGUGUUUUUCGGUCUUGAAGGAGAAGGACAAGUACAACAGUCAGGUGUUUUUCGGUCUUGAAGGACAAGUACAACAGUCAGGUGUUUUUCGGUCUUGAAGGACAAGUACAACAGUCAGGUGUUUUUCGGUCUUGAAGGACAAGUACAACAGUCCGGUGUUUUCAGGUCUUGUUUUUUACACACCUGUGGUACACACUCUCAUCCGUAUACCUCCCUCUUGUCCUCUCUCUCCUAGAUUUAUUUUGAGAUGGAGUCGUCCUCGAUAGCCAUGGCGGUAUGUCUUCAUUUCCAGAAGUUCCCCUGUGUAGUUCAGAACAAGCCUCUGAAAUUCAACAUGCUGGUCAAGGUUAAACACCCGGCUCAGCCGCAGCUCCCAGCCAAGAAGACACCUGUCACCAGCACCAGAGCCAAGAAGAAGUCGGUCCAAGGCAAGAAGCCUGUCGCUAAAGGUACAACACCAGGUAAAUCUGUUCCUACCACCACCUCUGCCACACAGCCUGUGGUUACCCAACACCCGGGAGAUGACGGAGGCGCCGUCCAGUCCAGUGACACCAUAGCGAUACACUCCGACGCGACCGCAACGGAACCCAGUCCAGUCGUCAUGGACCCCGUAGACCUGAUGACGACCAACGACGACCAAAGCCAAACCGCUGCAAAACCGGAUGGCGAGAAUGGAGAAACCAUAGCAACCGCUACCGUUCACGCUGCUAGCGUUGCCGGUUCUGUACCAGCACCCGUAGCUCGCCCAGUGUCUGUAAAAGGUGAAGACAACCUGUUAGACUUCAGUCCGGUAACUCAGGAGAUCCUGAAGGCCCUGGAGGCAGCAGUGCACCAACACCGCCUGGAGAGACAAGCCAAGGAACAAAGACAGGACCAGGGAGAGAAGGACAACCCUCUAUCCGACAAGAAGAGCUCUGUAGCUGGGGAGAAGGGGGAGACCAAGACCCCGGCUGGAGGACUGAACCAGGCCCCAGCUCACCCAGAGAAGAAGAAAAAAAAGCUACAACCUGAGAAGUCACAGAUCGAUAAAAAGCCUCCAACCACACCAGCGAAGAAGACCACAACACAGACGGAAGGUGCAAAGAAACCACCUUCAGGCUCUGGACAACCAAAGAAGAACCAGGGGAAGACCCAAGUCUAUGGAGGAAGAGGCAGGCGCAGGGACCAUUC